rnacentral:lncRNA from 1 species
GAGAAGUCUGGCUGCCUACAUCCUGGAGACCCAAAGCAACUGAGACAAUGUGCCUACGAUGUCUUUGAGCCAGCCAUAUGGCACUCCUUUGUCACAGGGCUUAAGAAUCCCCCAGAGCACCUGGAAGAGGAGACUGGUUAAUGCAGAUGGCUACUCUCCAAGUGACGGCAGCAACGUGUCUGGGUGGUAAUGAAAAUGAUUUUGAAAAAGAAGGUGGAAACUCUUCUUGGCUUGCUUUCCUGCUUACUCUCUGUGAAACUUGUCUUGCUUUUGCGUUUUUUCUGGAAGCUGCCACAUCAUGGAAUUGUGCCUUCUGGGUCAGAGAUGAAAGGAACUGGCCAGUAAGAGCCUGUGGAAYUGAAACAAUUUUUUCCAAAGGGACUCUAAAAUCCCAGGAGAAUUCCUCUAAACAUCUGUUCUGGCUUCACUAG